GCCGAAAUAGCUCAGUUGGGAGAGCGUUAGACUGAAGAUCUAAAUGUCCCUGGUUCGAGCCUGGUUUCGGCA
rnacentral:tRNA from 1 species